rnacentral:ncRNA from 23 species
AUCACCACCGGCGGUGGGGCCCGCCGUAUAAACCGCCGUCCUUGCGACGGCCAACGGUCCCUACUUCACC